AUAUCAAUAAGCGGAGGAAAAGAAACCAACAGGGAUUGCCCUAGUAACGGCGAGUGAAGCGGCAACAGCUCAAAUUUGAAAUCUGGCCCCAGGCCCGAGUUGUAAUUUGCAGAGGAUGCUUUUGGUGAGGCGCUUACCGAGUCCCCUGGAAUGGGGCGCCACAGAGGGUGAGAGCCCCGUAUGGUUUGCCGCCGAGCCUCUGUAAAGCUCCUUCGACGAGUCGAGUAGUUUGGGAAUGCUGCUCUAAAUGGGAGGUAAAUUUCUUCUAAAGCUAAAUACCGGCCAGAGACCGAUAGCGCACAAGUAGAGUGAUCGAAAGAUGAAAAGCACUUUGAAAAGAGGGUUAAAUAGCACGUGAAAUUGUUGAAAGGGAAGCGCUCGUGACCAGACUUGUGCCGGGCGGAUCAUCCAGCGUUCUCGCUGGUGCACUCCGCCCGGCUCAGGCCAGCAUCGGUUUUCGCCGGGGGACAAAAGCUUCGGGAACGUGGCUCCUCUCGGGGAGUGUUAUAGCCCGUUGCAUAAUACCCCGGCGGGGACCGAGGACCGCGCUUCGGCAAGGAUGCUGGCGUAAUGGUCAUCAGCGACCCGUCUUGAAACACGGACCGAGGAGUCAAGCAUUAGUGCGAGUGUUUGGGUGUAAAACCCGCACGCGUAAUGAAAGUAAACGUAGGUGAGAGCUUCGGCGCAUCAUCGACCGAUCCUGAUGUUUUCGGAUGGAUUUGAGUAGGAGCAUUAACGCUUGGACCCGAAAGAUGGUGAACUAUACUUGAAUAGGGUGAAGCCAGAGGAAACUCUGGUGGAGGCUCGCAGCGGUUCUGACGUGCAAAUCGAUCGUCAAAUUUG
rnacentral:rRNA from 1 species